rnacentral:rRNA from 1 species
AUAAUGCAGCUGUACGCUUUGCCUGCUAUCUCUUACCCAUGUCUUUUGAGUACCUUACGUUUCCUCGGCGGGUCCGCCCGCCGAUUGGACAAUUUAAACCAUUUGCAGUUGCAAUCAGCGUCUGAAAAAACUUAAUAGUUACAACUUUCAACAACGGAUCUCUUGGUUCUGGCAUCGAUGAAGAACGCAGCGAAAUGCGAUAAGUAGUGUGAAUUGCAGAAUUCAGUGAAUCAUCGAAUCUUUGAACGCACAUUGCGCCCCUUGGUAUUCCAUGGGGCAUGCCUGUUCGAGCGUCAUUUGUACCUUCAAGCUCUGCUUGGUGUUGGGUGUUUGUCUCGCCUCUGCGUGUAGACUCGCCUCAAAACAAUUGGCAGCCGGCGUAUUGAUUUCGGAGCGCAGUACAUCUCGCGCUUUGCACUCAUAACGACGACGUCCAAAAGUACAUUUUUACACUCUUGACCUCGGAUCAGGUAGGGAUACCCGCUGAACUUAAGCAUAUCAAUAAGCGGAGGAA